GAUUGACACAAAUGAAAAACAUAUUUUAAAAGAGUUAUAAGACAGUACAAGUGUUGCAUUUAAUGAAAUAAAAUGUAAAGUGCUUAAACUUGUUCAUUUCAAGGAAAAUGAAUAAUAAUGAUAAUAAUAAUACGGUAGGGUCGAGUCAGGAUAAUCAAGACAAAAUGACUGAAGAUUUAGAUAAAGAGACAGAAAAAGUUACCUCCUCUGCACCCGACAGGCGAAAGACAUCUAAGCCUAUCAUGGAGAAGAGAAGAAGAGCAAGAAUCAAUGCCAGUCUCACUGAAUUGAAAACGUUUCUUUUGGAUGUCAUAAAAAAAGAAGGAUUACGACACAACAAGAUGGAAAAGGCUGAUAUUCUAGAAUUGACAGUUAGACAUUUGCGGCAGCUUCAAAGACAACAGUAUACAGUUUCAACACCCGGUGAAGGAUCAACAUGUGACACAUUUAGAUUAGGUUUCAGUGAAUGUACAUCUGAAGUGACUAAAUUUCUGUCAAGAAUGUCUAACAUAGAACCUAAUUUCCAAGUAAAUUUAUUGGAACAUUUGUCGACCUGCUCAAACUCAGAGAACAGUUUAAAGUUCCUUAAUACGUCUGUUUCUCCAGUAAGUUCAAACUCUUCUAUUCAAUCAGAAAUAACAAGGGAGCAGCAAAAUUUAGAAAAGUGUUCGGCUAGUUCAAUGACGUUUGAUAAUACUGCAGACAUUUUAUAUAGCAGUCACCAUACCGACGAUAAAUUAGUGAAACCAGGAAACGCUAGCUCAACACAUCUGUGCAACUUGUCUUCACAACAGUCUAAAAUGUUGGAUACAGACCGAACGAUUCAACAUCCCUUAAGAGCAAGCACACCACAUAUGCACAAUUUUUCUUUGCAUCAAUCUAAAAUGUUGGACGCAGACAGAUCAGUACAACACCCAGUAAGCAUAUCUACAUCAACGAAUGGACCUACUGUCCAACCUUUUCAGCAGCUAAAAACAUGUGCCACUCCGAUUGGAAACGUAAUUGGUAAUGUGGCUUUUGGAAACAUAAUAAGCGGCAUACAACUAGUCCCUGUCCAACUUCCGUCUGGCGAAACUUUAUAUUUUAUUCCAACUAAUAUAUUAACUAAUACCUGUGUUCCUAUUAGUAAAACAUCAAUUCCCAUCACAAAUGUCAUAUCUCAGAACACUGCCCAACCAGCUGUGUCGUCUGCAUUCCCGUGUGUUCAAUCAUCCUCGAGAACGGUCAUAGAAAACAUUCGAAUACCAUCAGAUAGUCCGAGGGAAAAUUAUACCGAGAAUAACCAAAAUGAAAGCUCACUCAACUACUUUGAUAGGACAGUAAGAAAUAACAUCGAACGAAAUGGUCCGACUGCUUCCAGAAAUGAGCCUCAAAUAUCACUACGACAACAUGAAGGCUUAGAACCCGUAUGGAGGCCAUGGUGAAAUGUUAUACGGUGUUUUUGUUGCUUUAAUCUCAUAAUGAAAGACUCCAAAACGCUGUUUCCAAAUGCUAUUGGAAAUUCAAAGCAGAAUUAAUGGAAAGCGAAAAUAUGCAAAACAGCAGUGACAUUUGUAAAAAAACUAACACCACAACGUUGUGAUUGGCUAUGACAACGGGAAUUCAACCAACGGCUUGACGGUAUUUCAUUUUGGGUACGAACGAUGAAAUAAACAAAAUUCCUUUAGAUUAUUAAACGCGGAGUGAUGCACCAUAUAACAACAAAAUGAUUACAAAUAAAAUGCUUGCACAAACUACAAUUAAAGGAAUCAACCAGUGUCUCGCAUGAAGCACAAUUUGGAGACAUACGCCGCGUAAUCAUUACAAAUUGGUUUACCGAUACGAUGCAUCUGGGUCUAAAUUUAAGAAAGACAUGUUUGACUGUCUUUUACAAGUGUCAAGACACCAGAAACGUCAUCUGAUCUUAUCGGUACAUUUUUACUGAGUGUGGAUUAGCAUGGCGGAUAAUAACCCAUACAUACUAGGAGACGCUUACCUUGUCGACGCAACCGGCUUCGUUACAUUUCGAAUACAUACGAUUCCCUCGAUUUAUUUUCUCUUACGUGUAGUUAUUAGUUUCCAAAUGGAUUUAAAAGGAUAAACUUGUAUUGCCUCUUAUGGACUCCACUGUUGCUACCUGCCCGUUCCCGUAUCACGUCAUUUGAUAAAUGGAUAUCAAUCAUAACUUGCUGAGAACACUAAUGGUUUUGGAAGCAUUGUCUCAUAUUACGUUUAUUCUUUAAAAAUUCAUCGUGAAAAAAUUGUGCAAAUGUAAGAAUACGGACAGUUUUGCCAAUCGAACCUACAUUACUGGCCUACCCACCGAGCCUGAUAUAUUUACCGAAACAAUAUCGCAAAACGUUUUUCUCAAAAACUUGACAAUUGCUGAAUUAUGUUUGAUGUUUAUUUUCCUGUCUAUAUAUUUUUAUUAUAAAGACGCAAUGAUCGA